CAAGGUUAAGCAGUAAAUGUGGAGCCGUAGCGAAAGCGAGUCUGAAUAGGGCGUUUAGUAUUUGGUCGUAGACCCGAAACCAGGUGAUCUACCCUUGGUCAGGUUGAAGUUCAGGUAACACUGAAUGGAGGACCGAACCGACUUACGUUGAAAAGUGAGCGGAUGAACUGAGGGUAGCGGAGAAAUUCCAAUCGAACCUGGAGAUAGCUGGUUCUCUCCGAAAUAGCUUUAGGGCUAGCCUCAAGUGAUGAUUAUUGGAGGUAGAGCACUGUUUGGACGAGGGGCCCCUCUCGGGUUACCGAAUUCAGACAAACUCCGAAUGCCAAUUAAUUUAACUUGGGAGUC
rnacentral:rRNA from 1 species